rnacentral:rRNA from 1 species
UCCUUCCAACCAAUUGGACGAAAAGUUCUGAUGGAGCAACGCCGCGUGGAGUGAAGAAGGGUUCGGCUCGUAAAACUCUGUGUUAAGAAGACAUAUCUGAGAGUACUGUCAGGUAUUGACGGUAUUUAACCAGAAAGCCACGGCUAACUACGUGCCAGCAGCCGCGGUAAUACGUAGGUGGCAAGCGUUGUCCGGAUUUAUUGGGCGUAAAGCGAGCGCAGGCGGUUUUUUAAGUCUGAUGUGAAAGCUUUCGGCUCAACCGAAGAAGUGCAUCGGAAACUGGGAAACUUGAGUGCAGAAGAGGACAGUGGAACUCCAUGUGUAGCGGUGAAAUGCGUAGAUAUAUGGAAGAACACCAGUGGCGAAGGCGGCUGUCUGGUCUGUAACUGACGCUGAGGCUCGAAAGUAUGGGUAGCAAACAGGAUUAGAUACCCUGGUAGUCCAUACCGUAAACGAUGAAUGCUAAGUGUUGGAGGGUUUCCGCCCUUCAGUGCUGCAGCUAACGCAUUAAGCAUUCCGCCUGGGGAGUACGGCCGCAAGGCUGAAACUCAAAGGAAUUGACGGGGGCCCGCACAAGCGGUGGAGCAUGUGGUUUAAUUCGAAGCUACGCGAAGAACCUUACCAGGUCUUGACAUACUAUGCAAAUCUAAGAGAUUAGACGUUCCCUUCGGGGACAUGGAUACAGGUGGUGCAUGGUUGUCGUCAGCUCGUGUCGUGAGAUGUUGGGUUAAGUCCCGCAACGAGCGCAACCCUUAUUAUCAGUUGCCAGCAUUAAGUUGGGCACUCUGGUGAGACUGCCGGUGACAAACCGGAGGAAGGUGGGGAUGACGUCAAAUCAUCAUGCCCCUUAUGACCUGGGCUACACACGUGCUACAAUGGAUGGUACAACGAGUUGCGAACUCGCGAGAGUAAGCUAAUCUCUUAAAGCCAUUCUCAGUUCGGAUUGUAGGCUGCAACUCGCCUACAUGAAGUCGGAAUCGCUAGUAAUCGCGGAUCAGCAUGCCGCGGUGAAUACGUUCCCGGGCCUUGUACACACCGCCCGUCACACCAUGAGAGUUAGUAACACCCAAAGACGGUGGGGUAGACCUUUAUGAUCCAGCACGCAAACCGGGGUCGUGGACACGG